CCUAACACAUGCAAGUCGAACGGUAACAGGAAGAAGCUUGCUUCUUUGCUGACGAGUGGCGGACGGGUGAGUAAUGUCUGGGAAACUGCCUGAUGGAGGGGGAUAACUACUGGAAACGGUAGCUAAUACCGCAUAACGUCGCAAGACCAAAGAGGGGGACCUUCGGGCCUCUUGCCAUCGGAUGUGCCCAGAUGGGAUUAGCUAGUAGGUGGGGUAACGGCUCACCUAGGCGACGAUCCCUAGCUGGUCUGAGAGGAUGACCAGCCACACUGGAACUGAGACACGGUCCAGACUCCUACGGGAGGCAGCAGUGGGGAAUAUUGCACAAUGGGCGCAAGCCUGAUGCAGCCAUGCCGCGUGUAUGAAGAAGGCCU
rnacentral:rRNA from 1 species